CCUACGGGAGGCAGCAGUGAGGAAUAUUGGUCAAUGGACGCAAGUCUGAACCAGCCAUGCCGCGUGCAGGAAGACGGCUCUAUGAGUUGUAAACUGCUUUUGUACGAGGGUAAAUCCCGAUACGUGUAUCGGGUUGAAAGUAUCGUACGAAUAAGGAUCGGCUAACUCCGUGCCAGCAGCCACGGUCAUACGGAGGAUUCAAGCGUUAUCCGGAUUUAUUGGGUUUAAAGGGUGCGUAGGCGGUUCGAUAAGUUAGAGGUGAAAGCCCGGGGCUCAACUCCGGCACUGCCUCUGAUACUGUCGGGCUAGAUUUUAGUUGCGGUAGGCGGAAUGUAUGGUGUAGCGGUGAAAUGCAUAGAGAUCAUACAGAACACCGAUUGCGAAGGCAGCUUACCAAACUACGACUGACGUUGAGGCACGAAAGCGUGGGGAGCAAACAGGAUUAGAUACCCCAGUAGUC
rnacentral:rRNA from 1 species